CACUGCAUGUUUUAUCACAUUGCUGUUUAAAAACAAAAGUCACUUUUCACAGACCAACAGCUUCAUUCAAGGAUUCUAAAAGACAACUGAGAAAUCUCUUGUGUCUAAAAAGUGAAAAAUCAAUAUAGGGAUGAGGUAGUUUUAAAGUGUUUUGAAUGAAUGAGUGAAUGAAUGAGUGGCUGAAAUAGCUUGAUCUAUUUGACCUCACAUGAAGAGUCCUGGUCCUAAAUAUUGUGCUCUCUGCUUCCCCGUGCAGAAUUUAAGAAGAGGAUUACCUCAGGUUCCUUACUUCAGUCUCUAUGGAGACCAAGAAGGUGCUUAUGAACAUCCAGGCUCCAGCCUUUUCCCUGAGGGUCCUAAUGACUAUGUCUUCAGUCAUCUUCCACUCCACUCUCAGCAGCAAGUGAGAGCUCCUAUCCCCAUGGUGCCAGUUGGUGGGAUCCAAAUGGUUCACUCCAUGCCACCGGCCCUUUCCAGUUUACAUCCUCCACCCACAUUGCCUCUGCCAAUGGAGGGCUCUGAGGAGAAGAAGGGAGCCUCCAGGGAAUCCUUCCCUAAGGAUCCCUAUGUCCUUUUGAAGCAGCAUGAGAAGCAAUCUCCUCACGUUUUGCAGUCAUCUGGUCCACCUAGCACGCCUUCCUCUCCUCGGCUAUUGAUGAAACAGAGCACUUCAGAAGACAGCCUAAAUUCAACAGAAAGGGAACAGGAGGAAAACAUUCAGACUUGUACAAAAGCCAUUGCCUCUCUCCGGAUUGCCACAGAAGAGGCCGCUCUGCUUGGGGCAGAUCAGCCAGUGCAGGUGCAGGAAGCCCACCAGAAACCCUUGGAAAGUGCACAUGUUAGCAUUAGACACUUUAGUGGACCUGAGCCAGGUCAGCCCUGCACCUCAGCCACCCACCCUGACUUGCAUGAUGGUGAAAAGGACAAGUUUGGUACAUCACAGACUGCAUUAGCUCCCUCCACGUUUUAUGGCACGAGUCGUGUGGAUGAUAAACAGUCGGGCUUUCAUAGCUGCAAAGAGUUACCUUCAAGCACAGAGGGAGGCAAUGAGCCUUCAGCAGAGAAGAGUCAACUACAGUGAUCUAAGAUGCAUGGAGACUUUCAUUUCCACAUUUUCCCAUUUUGUUCUUUGUUUUUGUUUUUCUAGAAAUAGAGGUAAUCAAGUUUAUAGCAUGCCUGUCCUAAGUUACAGUAGUUUGCUAUUAUAUAUACUUUUGUUAUAUCAAAAGAAUUAGGUAAAUUAACAAGUCAUCAUGAGCCUGACCAAAACAAAAUUUGAAAUUAACCUAUUGGGUCUGGUACUUUUAAAAUUGUACAGAUGUUUGUGCCUUUUCUUUACUUUGCUUAUAUUCUUAUAAGCAUUUUUUAGCAGUACUUUGUACAUAUUUUAGAAUUUGUGUAUCUGCUUUGUAAUAAAUGUAAUUUCUUUCCUUUUUUGGACACUUGGAUCUAAAUGAUGUAAAGCAAAACAGCAUCAAUAUAUAUGUGAGGUUGCACUAAAACAUAUUUUUAUAUGAUUAAAACUGAACAGCUUUUAUGUACAGCUCUGAUUCUGUAAUACUAAUAUUUAUUUACUUUGUUUCAUAAAUUGUACAUUUUUUCUUAAUGUUGUGGAUUGCUUUUCUAUGUGAAGCAUGGGAUUUACUGUUGCGUAACUAGAACAAAAAUGUAUAUUGUAAACAAGAUAUUUAAACUAGAGUAUCUUAUUCUGCACUUAUGCAUUAGUUAAAAAAAAGAUAAAGGAUGUAUCAGUCAGUUCUUAACUCUUGUAAAUUUUUUUGUCUCUUGUUUGCUGGAUUGACUAUAACUUAAGUGCUGAUUGUGAUUUUAAACUUAUAGUACCGUAAAGCAUUAAAGUAAACAAUGUGCUAUUGUGAGUUUUUUCAAAGCUUUAUAAAUCAGUUAUAAAUAAUAUUAAAAGUAUUUGGUCUUAUGUGAACAUGUUGAUCUAUAUACUCAUCUAAAAAUAUGGGAAAACAUUCCGCCCCAUGUAAAUAUGUACAAGUGCAUCACUGGUACAAUUUUAUGUAACUCAGUUGGACACUAGGUUGACACAGACCUAUGCUAGGGUGUCUUUAAAAAUUAAAGUGACAAAGCACAUGGGACUGUGUAGAGCUUGGUUAUCGGCCGGCCCGGUGGCUUGGCAGGCAGUGCUGUGCGCUGCCCGUGGAGAAGACCUGGCCUUACAGAUCUCCUUGGUUCUUGCUGCACAAGAUGGUAACCGGAACUAAGGCUGCGACGGAGGGGAUGUGCUUGGACUCUGAGGGUUAGGAGUGGACACAGGGAAGGGGCGUGGAGACCUCUCACCAGCCUUUCCUCUCAGCCAGUCCACAUGGUAACAGGGUGGGCAUCAACUUUAGGGGAAGCCACUUCACCCUCUUGAAGAGGGGAAGAGUGUCAGGCUCCUGGCUAUCUCAGGGGGAACGGGGAAAAGAAGCUUUCCAGGGAAAAGAAUUUGUGGGAGGAUGAUGUCUUUUGUACACAACAUGCAGAAUGGGCUUUGGUUAGCGUGGAAGGUGGGCAGAGCCUUUGUUUGUAGGUCCGGAAGAAUGGAAGAAAGGGAGGGGGUACAACAACAUGUGUGCACACAUGCACAUGUGUGUGCAUGCACACACACACACACACAAUCUGGGUUAUCUUUGUGCUAUAUAGUGGAUUAUAAUUCUGUGAAACCAAGUUUGUAUAUUGAAUUACAUUAAGGAGUGUUCUUUAAAAAGAGAAAUAAAUAUACAAUUACAUGCUU